UGGAGUAGGAAGGAAACGUUGAUACCCUCAUUUAUUCUUUGGAUUAUCAACUUCUAUCCCACUUGAUUUUUUGGUGAAGGAACUGCACAGAGAUGGCAACGCUGCAAGACCAGACUGCUCGGCAAUCCAAGAAGCUGAUGUCGUUGUCCCCAGAGCAUUCUGGAAGCUUCUUCAGUGCCAGCGUCCUUGCAAUUAACGCCCCCCGAUGUUGUAGAGGAAUUUAGUGACAUGAUGGAACAAUUCACUGACAGUAAUGGUGAAGAUGUGCUGGACACUGAGAUUCCAAACUCAGAAGCGUUCAGAGAAAACAUCUGGUCCCCACUUGUGAAAAUCAAGGCUCGCUCAGAGGACUGCUUCUGUGAUUUUGCUAUGUCAGCUCUCUCUUCUUCCAAGCUCUGAAUGGUAGGGCUGAGUUGCAAAAUUUAGGGGUUUUUUUUCCCCUGGGAAAAGGUGCUUCAAGAGAAGAUUUUUCCAAGCCAGAGUUCCAUAUCCACUUUAGGUGACUGUGGCUAAGGAAACCUAGAGAGAACUGUAGCUCAACACAAAUGAGUAAAAAUAUUGUUCUACAUCUAGUGCAUGAGAAAUGCGGCACGUUCCUGCAAGUCUUUAACAUGACAGGUACAGGAAAUUACUUCUCCCUAAUGCCCAUCCACAUAACAGCCUUCUUG